UCACCAGGUUGAUUCUGCCUGACCUGGACGCUUGUUUUAAAGAUUUAGCCAUGCAUGUUAGUGAAGCGUAAGCGAAGCGACGAACGGCUCAGUAAUACAGUUAUAAUCUAUUCACAAAGCUAUCGAAUAUCCGCGGUAAACUGUGGUUAACUCGAAGGAUUUAUGUUUGUUUUGAAAUGAAGUAUAAGCAGUGAUUGAGUUUUUGGCCUAUUAGCUUGUGAAGGUAUGGUAAGGGCAUACCUUGGCUUUGAUGGGUAACGGGGAAUUAGGGUUCGAUUCCGGAGAAGGAGCCUGAGAGAUGGCUGCUACGUCUAAGGAUGGCAGCAGGCGCGAAAAUUACCCAAUCUUUGGAGAGGAGGUAGUGACAAAACGUAUGCGAGAGAGAGUAUAGCAAAGAAAUGCUCUAGAGCAACUGGAGGGCAAGUCUGGUGCCAGCAGCCGCGGUAAUUCCAGCUCCAGUAGCGUCCAUGUGUGUUGCUGCAGUUAAAACGUCCGUAGUCUUGUUUGAGUUUUACGAAAUUCGUAACACUUACUGUCCUGUGGGUAAAAGCAGUACAUCAAGUGCAGCAUAGCCACAGCAGCAUAUACAGCAGGAGCAGUUGAGGGCGAUGGUAUUCCAAUGCGAGAGGUGAAAUUCGAUGACCACUGGAGGACCAACAGAAGCGAAAGCGUUCGUCAUGGAUGUUUCCGAUGAUCAAGGACGUAAGCCGGAGUAUCGAAGGCGAUUAGAAACCGUCGUAGUUCCGGCCGUAAACGAUGCCGACCCACAGAGGUGACUAGUGCCUUUGUGUGGAGAAAUUAGAGUUUUUGGGCUCUGGGGAUAGUAUAGGCGCAAGCCCGAAACUUUAAGAAAUUGACGGAAGGACACCACAAGGAGUGGAGUAUGCGGGUUAAUUUGACUCAACGCGGGACAACUUACCAGGGCCUGAGGAAGGUGCGAAGUAUCUGAUACAACAGAUACUGAUUCUUCCACGAGUGGUGCAUGGCCGUUCCCAACACGUGGGGUGACCUGUCUGGCUAAUUCCGAUAACGCGUGAGACCCUCGUGCCGUGAGAAUGGCAGACGAUCACCGACGAGGUGGAGGAAGCAGGGGGCGAUAACAGGUCCGUGAUGCCCUUAGAUGUUCUGGGCUUCACGCGUACUACAAUGUGUAAGGUUUAAACAAAUGAAACUUGCACGAUGUCGGGAUAGACAGUUGUAAAUCUGUCUUGAACGAGGAAUUCCUAGUAACAGUGAGUCACUAACUUUCUGUGAAUAUGUCCCUGUCCUUUGUACACACCGCCCGUCGUUAUCUAAGAUGGAUGUGGGGAUGAAAAGAACACAGUUUUUUGAAUCUCUGCAACUAGAUUGGAUACAAGUCGUACAAAGGUAAC
rnacentral:rRNA from 1 species